UACGAGGGGGGCGAGCGUUGUUCGGAAUUAUUGGGCGUAAAGGGUGCGUAGGCGGUUUGGUAAGUCUUGUGUGAAAUCUCCAGGCUCAACUUGGAGUCUGCACGAGAAACUGCCGGGCUUGAGUGUGGGAGAGGUGAGUGGAAUUCCUGGUGUAGCGGUGAAAUGCGUAGAUAUCAGGAGGAACAUCUGUGGCGAAGGCGGCCACCUGGACCAACACUGACACUGAGGCACGAAAGCGUGGGGAGCAAACAGG
rnacentral:rRNA from 1 species